GCCAGGCGUGGUUCGCAUGCCUGUAAUCCCAGCAGCUCUGGAGGCUGAGGCAGGAGGAUCGCAAGUUCAAAGCCAGCCUCAGCAACAGCCAGAUGCUAAGCAAACUAGUGAGACCCUGUCUCAA
rnacentral:sRNA from 1 species